rnacentral:rRNA from 1 species
UACGUAGGGUGCGAGCGUUGUCCGGAAUUAUUGGGCGUAAAGAGCUCGUAGGCGGUUCGUCGCGUCGGCUGUGAAAUCCCGAGGCUCAACCUCGGGUCUGCAGUCGAUACGGGUGGACUAGAGGUAGGCAGGGGAGAACAGAAUUCCUGGUGUAGCGGUGAAAUGCGCAGAUAUCAGGAGGGAACACCGGUGGCGAAGGCGGGUCUCUGGGCCGAUACUGACGCUGAGGAGCGAAAGCGUGGGGGAGCAAACAGG